UGUGACGUCACAUGUUUAUAGCUAACGCUAACAGAAAACAGCACAGCUUUGAGCUCAAUGAAAAAAUACAGAAUUCAAAGCGAAAGCGUAUCGAGUAUGAAUAUAGAAGGAUAUAAAACCGAACGUCUGACUCUCCAGAUCUCAGUCUCUGACGACUGUUGUCGGCGAGUGGUGAAGACGUCACAAGCGGGUGGCGACACCAGGGUGGUGCGCACAAACACAGUGGAGACCUCCGCCACGUCCUCAAUGAGAGGCGCGCGCGGACCGCAAGCUCUCUGGGAGAAGCCACUAUUUGCUCUAAGACUGGAUGUUGCGUUGGUCAGAGUGGGAAUCUGCGCCAGAGUCUUAAUACGAUGCGCGCGCAGUCAAAGCCUCAGUCAACCAACAUCCGGUUUUUGCAACUUGCCUCAUAUUACCAGCUGAGACUGCAGCUGGGCGGUGUGGGGUUAGGAAAUGGCUCAUCAAUUCUGUCCUAUCUGCCUUCUCUGGUGCGAGCUUCCGCUCUGUCACGUGACGUCAGGACAACCACUGCUUCCACGUGUUUCUCAGGAGACGUGUCGAAGGAGAAGCCUGCUGUCGCUCACAGUCGGGUUUGGCGGAAACGCCGAAGCAUGGCCCUCUCUGACGACGGAGCAGCUGAAGUAGUGGUAGACACCGCAGACGAACCUCCUGCCAAGCAAGCCCGCCUCCGGGAGCGGCCACACAUUUCAGAUGUUGCCCGCGGCAUUCAGAUUGACCCCUUUAACUGGAGGUCUAACCCCUACGUUUGGCAGAGAGAGGUCUACAGGUGUGAACAGAGGAAGUCAACCACGUGGGGCCGGGACCCCUAAACGUGGCGGAAGGAAGAGGAUCAGACCACUAUCAGGCCCGCCUCGUGUUACACGUGGAAGAGGCCGGCCCCGUAGAGGGCGGCGAAUGCGCACUGUACAUGUCGGCAUCAUUCGGUACUCACGAAUCUCACCGCACUGCACAUGUCGGCAUCAUUCGCCGCACUGCACAUGCCAAGUGCAGUGAAGUGUCUCCAGAGAGACUUUGCCGGAAAGCCUCGGUCGCCGACCUCAACUGGGAAUAGCCACGUGUGCCACCCCUUCUCCCUGCUUUCCCUCUGCAGCUCAGCAUAUUUCGCCGUUUUACUCUCCAUCGCCUCAUCACAGCGCGACUCCCAAGGAACAGUGAGUUCAACCAUCACCAGACACGGGUUUUUCGCCGACCAGAUCACCAUGUCGUAAUAUAUUAUUUAUGUUUUAACCAAAAGAAUUAGUGGAAGACAAGUCUAAAUAUUCAAAUCCUAUGUUCAUUAGCUUUGUUUAAUCAGAUACCCCCUUCAGUAAUGAACACUUUUAAUAAAUGUCAGAUGCACAUAUUCGUUAGUUUUGUAGACAUGGAUGUUGAAAAAAAUGUACAAGAAAACUUAAUAUAGAGUUCUUCAUUUAGAACAAAUUAUUUAUGGCAUAAGAAACAUUAAUAGCAAGUAUAUAGCAAUUAAAGCAUUUUACUAUUCUAAAUCCAUCCUGUAUUCUUAAGUGUAAUGAUGGUUUGAUGAAUAUCCCAGGCCAGACCUUGCUUCGAAAGUCGAUAACGUACCCUCUAGGAAUGUUCAUGACUGAAAUCUUCACGGAGUAAAGGGCAUUUUCCCUGCAAAGUUCAUGAACCUCGAUACCAUAAUUCAAUAAAACGUAUGAAAAAUCAUUAUUACCGUGCUUGCCGUUACAUUUUACAUCAAAACUAACUGUCCAGCGCCGUUUGAAACCUUUGUUUACAUACAUUUCAACUAACUGACAUUUUAAACACACGAGUGAUUUCAUUGGUCAAAUGCGGAGGUGUGUUUUUACAACUGGAGAUUUCAUUCAUAAAUACUGUCUGAUCAGUGUCAUACGAGUUGUGUAUUGUGUUAUUUCUUAAAAGUUGACCCAUCACGUGUAAAAAUAUUGCAAGACAUAUACAUUUCCAGAAAGGAAAUUCAUUUCUGCGUUGAAUAAGACCGAGAUCGCGAAAAUCGCUGCACAAUUGAUGAAGAUAUGGCAGUUCAAAGCGAUGCAGACCGUUUUGGGGUGAUUUUGAGUUGCAUACCUUGUUAUUUAUAUAUAUAUAUAUAUUUUAUAGUGAAUUGUUUUUCCAGAAAAGUUGAUUUUUCGUCAUUAUAUGAUUAUUUAUCAUUCAAAAUGAUAUUUUCACUAAUUAAUAUCAUAGCCAUUCGCUAACCACCUCUGCUUUAGAAUAACGCAGAUAUAAACAAUUAUCAAAGAAUAUUUACAAAAUAAACUUACAUUUUCCCAAUAAUCGUGUCUUUGCAAUGGUUAAAAAAUAACAUACCGCGCUGUUUAAAUACUGGAUGACAACAGGAUCUAUACUAGAUUAAAACGCCAAACUCUUUGAUAAUGUUUUUCAUUACGUUCGCGAAAUGAAUAAAGCUACAGAAUGCGCAAAAGCCACACAUUAACUUGUUCAAUUGUUAAUUUUAUUAAGAAAUUUUUCAUCAGAGACAAUUGUUUAUCGUUUGAGAGACGUCUCCAUAAGCAGAAUGUUAAUUAGACAGUGCGUAGAAAGGCGCAUCACCCGAAGUAUGGAUAGUCAGUCAACAUGUUAAUUAGACAGCGCGUAGAAAGGCGCAUCACCCGAAGUAUGCAUAGUCAGUCAACAUGUUAAUUAGACAGUGCGUAGAAAGGCGCAUCACCCGAAGUAUGCAUAGUCAGUCAACAUGUUAAUUAGACAGUGCGUAGAAAGGCGCAUCACCCGAAGUAUGCAUAGUUCGUCGACAAUAGGCUAACGUUCAGAACAAUAUUAGGGCAUCUUUCUUAUAAACAUAUAAGAUGCUUUUUAUGUAAUUAAUUACUGAUAUUUAUGACCCUUUAUUGGAUAUACAUCAUCAAUUCCAGUACGAACAUUUUAACAUUUAUAGGUUUGGCAUAUAUACAGGUUUUCAAAUAUCGUUUAUUGUCCAUUUGGGAACGUCAAUUCUAAUACUUCACGUAUCUGAAUAUGAUAUUCACUGAUAUUUGCAGGCGAAAACAUUCAUUUAAAGUAAAUUAUUUUUCAAUAUGUUUGUUAUAACGCAGAUGUGUCUUAACACAUGUCAAUUGUGCACUUUCUCAUUCUUGGGUUACAAAUUUCCUAAACCUCUAAUACACUAGAUACAUCGCACAAUUAAGUAAUAAAGACAAAGGUAAGUCUUCAUGCAAAAUUAUACCUAACGACAGUUGACAUUAUUAUAUGAUUAUAUGAUACUUUAUAGAUUUGCGACAUUGUAGAAAAACGUCAGAAUCGUCACAUUAUUCUAAACAGAGCGUUGUUGAUUCCAUGUGUUCUUAUAAAGUAAACGUACUCGUGUGUAAAUACAUCAUAAAAUAUCGCUGAGCGUUACCAUCUUUGAUUUUAUAACAAUUCUUCAAGUGCGUGUCAUGUUUAUUGUGGUAGACUAGUAACAGGUAUAAUAUGUGUUUGUCGACAUAACCUUAUUUUUAUAUGCAGCGUUUAAAUUAAAAUAAUACAUUAUUUCACAUUUCCAAAUCAAUAUCAUCGGAAAGGCUUCAGCUACCAUUGUCAGAUUGGCAAAGAGAGUCUCGAAGAAUGAGGUUGUAACAGAGGACCGUAAUCCGGGUAUAUCAGGUCUGUAUCCCCAAAACCCUGCUGUAUGGUAGUGAAUCCUGGACGACCUUCGUGAAGGCCGCCUCAAAACCUUUCGAAUACGGUGCCUAAAGCGCAGUGUGAAGAUCAAGUGGCACAGUGCGGCAUCGUUACAGACACCUGGGGGAUUCUGGCCGAAGAUUGCACCGCCUUGUGACAUUCAAUGCAAAGAGGCAUAACAAAAGCUGAGGCAAGCAGAUCCGAGCGUGCAACUAGAUAUAGAAGCCUAGGAAAAGCGCGUGCCGCCUUUCUUCGACUGCAAGCCCCUUUGUGUGUGUGACUGCCAUUCCCGCAUAGGUCUGCUAAGCCACAGCAGGCGUUUCCGCCAGAAGUGACACAUUCAAGAGCGCAUCCGUUGUCCCGAGACUAAGCUCUACCCACAACGAAGAAUGCAUCGAGUUUAAUAGAUACACUUAAUUUACUUUGAAACUUGAAAACAAAAUGUCCAUCGUUAUUGCAUACGCCAUCUAGUAACUCUUUCCGUGCUUUGAUAUCUAUUUAUUUGCCAGAAAUAUCAUUAAACUUUUUAAGAAUCAAAACAUUAAUUCACGUUAUGAUCAAUGAUGUCGACGUAUGUCCGUGUUGUAAAUUAGGUGUGCCAGUAUGUACCGCCUUGAACGGAAAGAACAGCGAACAGUAUUGGUUGCUCUAGUAUGCAGGUAAUGUCACCUAACAUAAAACAGCAUGGCGAAAUACAUUUUGUACCAGGCGGGGACACCUGUCAGAUUAAGUCUACUACUUGUAAUUAACGAUUAAUGUGCAUUCGCCACAAUAAGUUCCUUAAUGCUUAGAAAUGCAAUUUUUAUACGACGAACAAUCAUUUCGAAAGUACCGUACCCGUGAGAACAGGCAGAUGCGGUGGUUAGAGCAGACGCUUUUAGCAGUCGUCUGCUUUAUUUUACUGCAGUUAUCCACACUGGCAGUCACGGGUUACGGUUCCUAUCGAAGCUAAGCUCAUAUUGAUUUGCUAAAUUGACCAGUCGCCAAAUUAUCGAUCGCUCCGCCCACAUAGCCACGUGGUCUAGUGAUUAGAAAACGCCGACAAGCAGAUCGCAAUUAUAGUGGAUUACGUGAGGGAAAUUCUAUAUUUGUAAUGAUGUAUUAUGCUCUUUUCUAUAAAAUAAAUUAUUAAAGCCGCACACUAAACUAAACUGCUUUGUAAAACGUUAAUACAAUCAUAAAAACUUUAGAGAGAAAUGGCGUAAUCAAAAUAAAUGAGUUAACGGCAGACAGACUAUCAGAAACGUUUCUUAUACAUAUUAUAUAGGGAGGUGGUGAAAAAUCCGUUGUAAAAAUGAGCAUUUAUUUCAUAUUGAUUUUGAACUUGUAUUCAACCGUCUGACAGUAAACCCGGUGGCUAUUCAUAUAUAAUUUUGAAAAUAUUUUUAUUAAAUUCAAAUGACAUAUCCAUAUCAUGAUGGGUUUUUUGUUGAUUAAAAAUGUUUAGAUCUUUGUUUUAUUGUGUUAUUUUUAAAAAGACACCGAUUUUUUCAUUUAGAUAUAAAUUAAAUUUUUAUUGUAACCAUAAUUUAAUACAGUCCUGAUUUCGUGGUUUCAUUAACAGAUAGUCUAAUAUGCAUUUUAUUACAUUUAUGUUUAAUGCGAACCUGUUACAUUUGCAUUUGCUUAUUUAUAACAAGAUGGCCCUUAUAUGUUAAUUGCAAUUUUCACAUUUCUCCCCGUAUCAAUAUAUGUUGUAUUAGAAAUGUUGUUGUUGUAAUAUAAGCCAUACAUUUUACACUUGAAGUCGCUUUAAGCUGGCUAAGCCGCGUUGAAAUCACCUUUUUGUUGUUUUUACUUUAGUUAAACCAAUAUUUAAGUUAACAAUUUAUAAUGAUUUCCCUUGUUUAUGAUCCACAGAAAAUAAAUAUAUAAUUGGAAAUCAUUUAAGUAAUUAAAUAGUUUUCUUUUCUUGUGUACAGUACCUAACAAUGCCUUAAUGUUCCUUCAUUCUGAGAUCCACGCAACAUACUGUUAUUUAUUAAUCAUCGACAAUUACGCUGAGAUUAAUAAGCACGUGUGGCAAUUAUUAUGUUGCCCAAACUGCUUAAUAAUAUUGUGCAUCAAACGGUAUAACACGUUUUAUAGAACACACACCUGGUGUGGUUAAACUACUUAUUGUGUUUGUUUUCUCAUUACUCGUUCAUAUGUUCAAGAAAUAAAGAUAAAAUAAUAA